rnacentral:rRNA from 1 species
AGCGAACGCUGGCGGCAGGCCUAACACAUGCAAGUCGAAUGAUCCCUCGGGAUAGUGGCGGACGGGUGAGUAACACGUGGGAACGUGCCUUUUGGUUCGGAACAACUCAGGGAAACCUGAGCUAAUACCGGAUGUGCCCUUCGGGGGAAGGAUUUAUCGCCAUUAGAGCGGCCCGCGUCUGAUUAGCUAGUUGGUGGGGUAAAGGCCUACCAAGGCGGCGAUCAGUAGCUGGUCUGAGAGGAUGAUCAGCCACAUUGGGACUGAGACACGGCCCAAACUCCUACGGGAGGCAGCAGUGGGGAAUCUUGCGCAAUGGGCGAAAGCCUGACGCAGCCAUGCCGCGUGAAUGAUGAAGGUCUUAGGAUUGUAAAAUUCUUUCACCGGGGACGAUAAUGACGGUACCCGGAGAAGAAGCCCCGGCUAACUUCGUGCCAGCCGCCGCGGUAA